UACAGAGGGGGCCAGCGUUAUUCGGAAUCACUGGGCGUAAAGGGCGCGUAGGCGGGCUCUUAAGUCAGGGGUGAAAGCCCAAGGCUCAACCUUGGAAUUGCCUUUAAUACUGAGGGCCUUGAGACCGGAAGAGGUCGGCGGAACUGCGAGUGUAGAGGUGAAAUUCGUAGAUAUUCGCAAGAACACCAGUGGCGAAGGCGGCCGACUGGUCCGGUUCUGACGCUGAGGCGCGAAAGCGUGGGGAGCAAACAGG
rnacentral:rRNA from 1 species